AUUGCUUGCUCCAAUGGAUACUGGAAUUACAGGCAUCAGGUUCUUCCUGAAGAAGAUUAUGUAAUUCCAACACAGAUUACAUUCCGGAUAUCUUCAGACAAAAAAAUCACUCUUUUGGAAGUGAAUGGAAAAAAAUUCACUGAAUGGAUUUAUUUAGAAAAACACGGUGACAUAUACGAGAGAACUUUGGACGCUUCUUCUCAGUGCGUAAAACAAUGCCAGUAGUGUCCCUCAAUAGUUCUUAGAUGCCGAACAAGAAGCAUGAAAAAAGAAGUGACAGAGAAGCCAGUAUUGAAUCAGCAACAUCAUCAGCAAAGAAAAAAUGGACCAAGUGUCACAGCACUUUUUGUGUAAAUAGAACUGGAGUAAGCAACUUUUUGGACAACCUCCACUAUUGGUCAUCACUAGGCUAACAACAUCUCAGCAUGCAUAUAUGCUAAUGGACAUCAUCACUUAUUUUUGGCAACCAGAUUAGGCAUUUUGUUGUAACUAAGUUAGCCUAUAAGUAGAACAGGUUAUUUUUGGCAAGUUGUUUUGACAGCAACUGCAAAUCUGUAUUUGAACACUAAAUUUCAGUAAAACA